rnacentral:misc_RNA from 1 species
GAAAUGCGAUAAGUAAUGUGAAUUGCAGAAUUCAGUGAAUCAUCGAAUCUUUGAACGCACAUUGCGCCCGCCAGUAUUCUGGCGGGCAUGCCUGUUCGAGCGUCAUUUCAACCAUCAAGCCCCCGGCUUGUGUUGGGGACCUGCGGCUGCCGCAGGCCCUGAAAAACAGUGGCGGGCUCGCUGUCACACCGAGCGUAGUAGCAUACAUUCUCGCUCAGGGCGUGCUGCGGGUUCCGGCCGUUAAACGACCUUCAUAACCCAAGGUUGACCUCGGAUCAGGUAGGAAGACCCGCUGAACUUAAGC